GUUGUCGUGGCCGAGUGGUUAAGGCGAUGGACUAGAAAUCCAUUAGGAUCUUCCUGCGCAGGUUCGAAUCCUGCGCAGGUUCGAAUCCUGCCGACAACG